AGGCCGAAAGGCGUAGUCGAUGGGAAACAGGUUAAUAUUCCGGGACUUGGUGUUACUGCGAAGGGGGGACGGAGAAGGCUAUGUUAGCCGGGCGACGGUUGUCCCGGUUUAAGCAUGUAGGCUGAUUGUCCAGGCAAAUCCGGAUAAUCAAGGCUGAGGUGUGAUGACGAGGCACUACGGUGCUGAAGUAACAAAUGCCCUGCUUCCAGGAAAAGCCUCUAAGCAUCAGGUAACAUUAAAUCGUACCCCAAA
rnacentral:rRNA from 1 species